UUUUUCUAGUAUGAUCACUAGUAUAUGAGUCAGUCAGCCAAAGCUCAUCACUUCAUCACAUCGUCAUGCUCAGCAAGAAAGAAGGUGGUAAUGAUCUUAAAACAUUGAGAAGUUCACGUUCUAUAUGAAUGUACUGAUGCUUACAUUCAAGUUUUAUGCUUUAUUGAUUGAUUAGAUAUCUCAAUGAACUUAGAUGCGUUAAGAAUGCAUGAUCACUGUUACGAGAAGAACAAUAGAAGCUAGAAACUCAGUUAUAUUUCACUAUAGCCAUGGUGAAGAGCUAAAAAAAAAA
rnacentral:lncRNA from 1 species